rnacentral:tRNA from 1 species
GGGGUUGUGGCUCAGUGGUGAGCGCUUGCCUAGCAUGUAUGAGGCACUAAGUUCAAUUCUCAGCACCA